rnacentral:rRNA from 1 species
UACAGAGGGGGCAAGCGUUAUUCGGAAUUAUUGGGCGUAAAGGGCGCGUAGGCGGCGAUUCAAGUGACGGGUGAAAUCCCUCGGCUUAACCGAGGAACUGCCUGUCAGACUGGGUUGCUUGAGACCGGGAGAGGCGAGUGGAAUUCCCAGUGUAGCGGUGAAAUGCGUAGAUAUCAGGAGGAAUACCGGUGGCGAAAGCGACUCUCUGGACGGCAACUGACGCUGAGGCACGAAAGCGUGGGGAGCAAACAGG